CAGGUAGCGGAGCAUGGGGUUUAAUUCGAAGCAACGCGAAGAACCUUACCCAAGCUUGACAUCCCACUGACCUCUCCCUAAUCGGAGAUUUCUCUUCGGGGACAGUGGUGACAGGUGGUGCAUGGUUGUCGUCAGCUCGUGUCGUGAGAUGUUGGGUUAAGUCCCGCAACGAGCGCAACCCUUGCCUUUAGUUGCCAGCAUUAAGUUGGGCACUCUAGAGGGACUGCCAGGGAUAACCUGGAGGAAGGUGGGGAUGACGUCAAAUCAUCAUGCCCCUUAUGCUUAGGGCUACACACGUGCUACAAUGGGUGGUACAGAGGGCAGCCAAGUCGUGAGGCGGAGCUAAUCCCUUAAAGCCAUUCUCAGUUCGGAUUGUAGGCUGAAACUCGCCUAUAUGAAGCUGGAGUUACUAGUAAUCGCAGAUCAGAAUGCUGCGGUGAAUGCGUUCCCGGGUCUUGUACACACC
rnacentral:rRNA from 1 species